UAAGGAAUAUUGGACAAUGGGCGAAAGCCUGAUCCAGCAAUGCCGCGUGAGUGAAGAAGGCCUUCGGGUUGUAAAGCUCUUUCAGUCGAGAAGAAAAGAUUAUGACUAAUAAUCAUAAUUUAUGACGGUAUCGGCAGAAGAAGCACCGGCUAACUACGUGCCAGCAGCCGCGGUAAUACGUAGGGUGCAAGCGUUAAUCGGAAUUACUGGGCGUAAAGGGUGCGCAGGCGGCUCUGCAAGUCAGAUGUGAAAUCCCCGGGCUUAACCUGGGAACUGCGUUUGAAACUACAGAGCUAGAGUGUGGCAGAGGGAGGUGGAAUUCCAUGUGUAGCAGUGAAAUGCGUAGAGAUAUGGAAGAACAUCGAUGGCGAAGGCAACCUC
rnacentral:rRNA from 1 species